rnacentral:rRNA from 1 species
GAUGAACGCUGGCGGUGUGCCUAAUACAUGCAAGUAGAACGCUGAAGGAGGAGCUUGCUCUUCUGGAUGAGUUGCGAACGGGUGAGUAACGCGUAGGUAACCUGCCUGGUAGCGGGGGAUAACUAUUGGAAACGAUAGCUAAUACCGCAUGACAACAGUUAUUGCAUGAUAACUGUUUAAAAGGGGCAACUGCUCCACUACCAGAUGGACCUGCGUUGUAUUAGCUAGUUGGUGAGGUAACGGCUCACCAAGGCGACGAUACAUAGCCGACCUGAGAGGGUGAUCGGCCACACUGGGACUGAGACACGGCCCAGACUCCUACGGGAGGCAGCAGUAGGGAAUCUUCGGCAAUAGACGGAAGUCUGACCGAGCAACGCCGCGUGAGUGAAGAAGGUUUUCGGAUCGUAAAGCUCUGUUGUAAGAGAAGAACGAGUGUGAGAGUGGAAAGUUCACACUGUGACGGUAUCUUACCAGAAAGGGACGGCUAACUACGUG